rnacentral:tRNA from 1 species
UCUCUGGGGGUCCAGUGGUUAGGGCUUGGUUCUUUCACAGCCAUGACCCCGGUUCAAUUCCUGAUUAGAGAA